UGCAAAUCCCCCCCUGGAGCUGGCCUGGAGCAUUUCAACCCUGCUGAAGAUCCCUUGCUCCAACAGCUCACUCCAGCAAGCUUUCCCACCAGGAUCUCACAGCUCACCUCAGGUACUGCUUUACACAAGCCUAAGCCUCUGCUCCACAACUCUUUUCCCUUCACUUCUGUCUGCAGAUUCUCUGUGUUCUUUAACCCAGAUGGCUUUGCCCUGUCAAAAACAUUAACUGUCAAAACUACUGAAGGCAGCUGCUCAACCGCUCUGUUUUGGACCUGUUCCUCUUUCCAAGAGGAAAGAACGAAACGGUGCGCGGGGUUUCAAAUCCACCAUGAUUUGCCAAAAAUACUUCAGCACCAACACUUGCUUUGCACAAGAGUUUACUACCUGCCAGAGAAGCAUUUUGCAUUCCUCGCUGACGCAUUCUCUCCUGCUUUGGUUCAAAUCUCACGAGUGGAUGCAAGGACCUUGUUUUGGCAGCCCUGGGACCACAUCUCCAUUGGCUGGGCUCUGAAAUGGGCGCUGCCAGCACCCAGUUUUGAGGUGGGUGUGAAAACUUGGCAGAUUCAUGCCGACGCACAGACACUCUUGGUCUUCAACACCCCAGAGAUGCUUUCAGGGCAAAAAGCAGCUUCCAGGGCUAAAAGCUCUGGCAGCAUUAGGUGCAACAGACCAGAUUCAAGCUCCCAAAACUUUCUUUUCCCAACUCUCCUGCAUUUCCUAAAAAGCAGAGUUAUGAUGCUUUCCAAGGAUGAAGAAGUGUCUGAUUGCAAACCAGGACCUGCAGGUAACAGAUGCUCUUAUUACUGGGUUUUUCUUCCAUAAACCAGUAUCAGAUGAGUCAACCAUGCAUGUGAGGGGAGUGAGAUGGGAUUUUUUUUUCCAUAUCUUGAGACAGUGAACACCUUGUCACUUCAUAACCUGGGCAGGCUCCCUUUCAACUUCCAUCAAUCAAAAACCCCAAGUAUCGAAAUGAGCUCACGGAGAUCUUUGAAGUAUACUUUGGUUUGGGGUGGGUUUUUU
rnacentral:lncRNA from 1 species